rnacentral:rRNA from 1 species
UACGUAGGGUGCAAGCGUUAUCCGGAAUUAUUGGGCGUAAAGAGCUCGUAGGCGGUUUGUCGCGUCUGCUGUGAAAACCCGAGGCUCAACCUCGGGCCUGCAGUGGGUACGGGCAGACUAGAGUGCGGUAGGGGAGAUUGGAAUUCCUGAUGUAGCGGUGAAAUGCGCAGAUAUCAGGAGGAACACCGGUGGCGAAGGCGGGUCUCUGGGCCGAAACUGACGCUGAGGAGCGAAAGCGUGGGGAGCAAACAGG